UACGUAGGUGGCAAGCGUUGUCCGGAAUUAUUGGGCGUAAAGCGCGCGCAGGUGGUUUCUUAAGUCUGAUGUGAAAGCCCACGGCUCAACCGUGGAGGGUCAUUGGAAACUGGGGAACUUGAGUGCAGAAGAGGAAAGUGGAAUUCCAAGUGUAGCGGUGAAAUGCGUAGAGAUUUGGAGGAACACCAGUGGCGAAGGCGGCUCACUGGGCCGAGCCUGACGCUGAGACGCGAAGGCGUGGGGAGCGAACGGGAU
rnacentral:rRNA from 1 species